UUCACCCGCGAAGAGCCACCGCCCACGCCGCAUAUCUCUUAUGCCCCGAUUCAACCGGCUCUCUUCUCCCCAAGAUUACAGCCCCGAUUGGAACGACUGGCGGCGACAGAUCGGGGGAGGUCGCCUUGCAGGCCGAGCUCGGAUCCACGCAAACAUCCCUCCCUACGAGGAUCCGACCCUCUUCUUCCCCCAAUUGCAGCGACCAGGGACGCCAGCUUGAAGGAGGCCGCCCCGCCGCCGAGCUUGGAUCCACCGCAUCAACCCGCCCAGCGAGCACCCUGUUGUCUUUUCCCCAACGCUUGGCGACGUCUCUCGCUCCAGGAAGGGGCUUUGAGAGAUGAAGAGGAAGCCACCCUUUCUAUGUCCAAAGCAAUGGUACCUAAAGGUUGUACCAUGCCAAAAACGAAAACACAAAACUGAGAAGCUGUCGAGCAUCACCAAAAGACUGGAUCUAGGUCUUAUGUUUCCACUUUUAGCAAAAUUAAAAAGGCAAGUACAAUAAUCAGAACCCAAGUCUUGAGUUUUUCAAAGAGACACAUACGAACAAGAAGACUGACAGCAUGAGCGAGCCGACACAUCUAGCCUAUAAUGUGACUGAAAAGAAAAGGGAAACACAAUCAGAAGGUGAGUAACCAGUGUGCGACUCAAUGAUUGUGGCUGAAGUUCUAAAGGAAGAAAGCACCCAUAGCACCUUCCUUUCCAGCAUGAGUUAUGCAUCAAGAUCCAAGAGAUUUGGGAGCUUUACUUCAUCAGCAUAGAUUUGAGUUCUAGAAUAAAGAAUUGAACAAAAGGAUGGUGAGGCGAGAGAUGCAAGGGACAGGCACCGAUAGGAGUUAGUGGCGAGACUUGAAGCACAAGCAAAGUGCAUUUGAAGAGAUGCGGAGGAAGCAACACGAAGAAUUUGAAUAUGUGAAGAAGAUCCAGCAAGAGAAGAAUGAAGCCUGGAAAAAGAAUUAACAAGAGACGAAUAACCUGAUUGGUUUUCUCUGAAGUGCUCAAGCAACUUAGCAGUCCCAAUCCAAACCUAAUGGUGCAUGAAGGCCAUACUUUUGCGAUGGAAAGAUAGUUGUUGAAUCAUAUAUUGCAAUCAUCAGGAUGACACAUGUGGUCUUUACUUAUCUAAUUAUUGCUUUUUAACUUGUCUGUUGUUGUCUCAAACUCGUGAGCUAGUGUUACUUUUUACUAUCAUUUAUGUUGAGAGGACGGUUGAGCUAAGGUGAUGAAGUAUAUAAUAUUGUAAAUUUAUGAUGUGAUUUGGAUCUUAACUUAUUUAUAUAAUGUGAUAUGAAUUAAAUACUUA